GUUAGCCUACGGGGGCAGCAGUGGGGAAUAUUGCACAAUGGGGGGAACCCUGAUGCAGCGACGCCGCGUGGGUGAAGGAGUAUUUCGGUAUGUAAAGCCCUAUCAGCAGGGAAGAACAAUGACGGUACCUGACUAAGAAGCACCGGCUAAAUACGUGCCAGCAGCCGCGGUAAUACGUAUGGUGCAAGCGUUAUCCGGAUUUACUGGGUGUAAAGGGAGCGCAGGCGGGAAGCCAAGUCAGCUGUGAAAACUACGGGCUUAACUUGUAG
rnacentral:rRNA from 1 species